UCUGAUGGCUCAGAUGGUAAAGCAUCUGCCUGCAAUGCAGGAGACCCGGGUUCGAUCCCUGCAUUGGGA
rnacentral:tRNA from 1 species